rnacentral:rRNA from 1 species
UAGGAGCUCCUGCUGCAUGGUGGGGGUUGGAAAGUUUCGGCGGUUGGGGAUGGACUCGCGGCUUAUCAGCUUGUUGGUGGGGUAGUGGCUUACCAAGGCUUUGACGGGUAGCCGGCCUGAGAGGGUGACCGGCCACAUUGGGACUGAGAUACGGCCCAGACUCCUACGGGAGGCAGCAGUGGGGAAUAUUGCACAAUGGGCGGAAGCCUGAUGCAGCAACGCCGCGUGCGGGAUGACGGCCUUCGGGUUGUAAACCGCUUUCGCCUGUGACGAAGCGUGAGUGACGGUAAUGGGUAAAGAAGCACCGGCUAACUACGUGCCAGCAGCCGCGGUAAUACGUAGGGUGCAAGCGUUAUCCGGAAUUAUUGGGCGUAAAGGGCUCGUAGGCGGUUCGUCGCGUCCGGUGUGAAAGUCCAUCGCUUAACGGUGGAUCCGCGCCGGGUACGGGCGGGCUUGAGUGCGGUAGGGGAGACUGGAAUUCCCGGUGUAACGGUGGAAUGUGUAGAUAUCGGGAAGAACACCAAUGGCGAAGGCAGGUCUCUGGGCCGUCACUGACGCUGAGGAGCGAAAGCGUGGGGAGCGAACAGGAUUAGAUACCCUGGUAGUCCACGCCGUAAACGGUGGAUGCUGGAUGUGGGGACCAUUCCACGGUCUCCGUGUCGGAGCCAACGCGUUAAGCAUCCCGCCUGGGGAGUACGGCCGCAAGGCUAAAACUCAAAGAAAUUGACGGGGGCCCGCACAAGCGGCGGAGCAUGCGGAUUAAUUCGAUGCAACGCGAAGAACCUUACCUGGGCUUGACAUGUUCCCGACAGCCCCAGAGAUGGGGCCUCCCUUCGGGGCGGGUUCACAGGUGGUGCAUGGUCGUCGUCAGCUCGUGUCGUGAGAUGUUGGGUUAAGUCCCGCAACGAGCGCAACCCUCGCCCUGUGUUGCCAGCACGUCGUGGUGGGAACUCACGGGGGACCGCCGGGGUCAACUCGGAGGAAGGUGGGGAUGACGUCAGAUCAUCAUGCCCCUUACGUCCAGGGCUUCACGCAUGCUACAAUGGCCGGUACAACGGGAUGCGACCUCGUGAGGGGGAGCGGAUCCCUUAAAACCGGUCUCAGUUCGGAUUGGAGUCUGCAACCCGACUCCAUGAAGGCGGAGUCGCUAGUAAUCGCGGAUCAGCAACGC